ACAGGGUAACUUUAAAACCAGUAUCUUCUUAUUUACCAAAUAAAACCUUUAUAAACCUUAAAUAAAACUAAAAUGUUUUUAUUGUGCUACUUGGGGGCCUAAUUGGACCUCAUUAGUAUAGUGUAGCAUGUUAAAAAAGUUGUAUGUUAACUUGUAAAGGAUCACUACAGGAGCAAUGUUACCAUUUUUGGUCAUAUUGUAAGAAGACCCGCAUAUCGCAAGGCUACAACUAACACUGCCAAGGAGGUAAGGCUACCUGAGGAAAUAAAAAGCCAUAACGUUAUUAAAUAAAAUGAUGUUGAAUAAUCGAGUACAAAUAUAAAUAAAAAUAAGCAAAAUUAUUGGCUAAUACUCGUAAAGUGAAUGUGAAUUUAAAUGUAAAUAUGUAUAUAAAAUGAUGAAGGGUCGUCAUUCCAUACAUGUAAGGCAUGUCAUAAUAUGCAAAAUACAAAAGCCAUAAGUAUAAUCUAAAAAUUGUUAUAGACAAGGCGAAAACGGCGGGUUCGUUGGAAAAAAUAUUCCCAUGAGAUUUUUUUGCAUAAUCACAUUCGUGAGACACCCCAGAAUAAGGUUCAAGAAGUCGCCCACGCGAAAAGUGGUCCAAUUUUUUUUAAUCAAAUUGCAAAAAUCAAUAUUUUUGGCCUGGAGAUUUUUUUUUAGAUUUUUCAGACCAUUCUGGACAGAAAAGGUCUCUUAUAAUUUUUAUCUAAAGUUGAUCAUCGUGUUCGAGUUAUAAGCAAUUUAAAAUUUGAAAAACGCGAAAAUGGCCAUUUUUAAAGUUAUUUUUAAUUAUUAAUAAUGAGUGGUAAGAUCGUAUUGACGCGGCUGUAAAUGUGAGUGCGAGUGAGAUGCGCCAUUGGACUGCCUGAAUUGCAUCUCUUUCGCAUUCAUCAUGGACGGCCGCCUAACACGUGCAUGGCGCUCAUUAUUUUUACUUAAAAAUAACAGCUUAGUAAUCAAAUAAUAACAAAAAUUUCUUCAGGAUCUUGUAGGGGGGGGGGGGCUUUAAACUUUGAUUUAGUUACUUUCUGACUUUCAGAGUAAUAACUUUUAACCGAGUUAUUAAGCCUCCUUGAAAAUCGCAAUUUUUCGUUUUUUUCAAUUUUAAAAUGCUUUUACCUCGAAACCGAUUAACUUUAGAAAAAAAUUAUAAAAGACCUUUUUUAUACAGAAUGGUCCAGAAAACCUAAAAAAAUUUGUUCCAGCCAAAAAUACUGAUUUUUGCAAUUUGAUUAAAAAAAAUUGUUAAAAAAAAUUUGGACCACUUUUCGCGUGGGCGUCUUCUUGAAUCUUAUUCUGGAAUGUCUCACGAAUGUGAUUAUGCAAAAAAAUCUUAUGGGAAUAUUUUCUCCAAAGAACCCGCCGUUUUUGCCUUAUCUAUUAGUUUUUGGCAAGAAUUUGAAUAAUAUGUUAUUGAAUUUAAUGUGUCACAUUUUAUUAUAUUUUUAUUGAACAAUAAACAUGAUUAGUUAAAAUAUUGUUUUGUUUGCUUUCAGUCCGGAUUUUCAUCGUUCAUUUCUAAGAUUAGGACAAGACGAACACACACCUUGGGAGACUGAGCUAGGCCAAGGACACACAUAGCUAUCAUGGAUGAUUGAAAUAUUAUUCUUUAAUGUUAUUUUGAUUGCCUGGGGUAGUUUAUCAUAUCGUUUCAAUGUAAAAAGAAAAAUUUAUAUAAAAUCUAAAAAAUACAUUCAUUUGUUAUGUCAUACAUCAUAUUUUUUCAUAAAGAUAGAAAUAUGUGGGGCUGAAAGUUAAAUUAAAAGAUAAAAUCGUCCGUAUCUCGAAAAUGAAUCACUUAUAAUUAAAAACGGGAUUUGAAAAUGUGAAACACAACAAUUAUUUUUGUCGUCAAAGAGUAGGAUGCUGUAGAGGUGAAAUUGAACUCGAUUACAGGCACCCAGGAGAAGGGCGUGGCCCUAGUUUUUACACCAUCUGUUUUGGCCCAGAGUAUAUAUAAUGCCCCCCCCAGAAAGUACAAGUAAAUGGUAAAUAGCAGCUCCUCAAGACCCAUGGAUUCGACGAACAUUUAGGCAACUCCGGAGGCAACAACCGAUCCACCAGUACAUCAGACCAGUACAUCAAAACCUGACGCCUCCCGAAGAAGAUCAUGAGGUGUGGAUAACCUAGGACAGCACCGGAAGAAGCCUUCACACCACAAGUUAAGUCUUCUUUAGAAUCUUAUAUUUGCCUGUCAGCAGAGACAGUUUUUUUAUAUAAAUUAACUUCAUAAUAACUUCACAAUGAUGUAGAUCCUAAAUUAUAAAAAAAAAAAAGAAAUGAGAAAAUAAAGCAUUUAUACCGAAA
rnacentral:lncRNA from 1 species